AAAUCCGGCCGGAUUUGAAAUCCGGUGCACCCCUACAUGUUUUACACAAUGUUUGUACCAGGUGCUGUCAUGCUACAGAAGAUUGAACAGAACUUGUCAAGAGGUGUUCAAAAAUGAUGUCGUGAUGCUUGAAGCGGCCAGGAGAAAGAUGAAGGAAGAUUUCAGACGGAAUAAAACAGAGAAUAAUCCGGACAAGAUCGAGGAACUACUGAAAACAGCUGUGGAAUCAGAAGAGGUGUUACGGCGUCUUAUUGUGCAGGGUGUCCGUAAAUCUGAUGGCACGUAUAAACUAAACUUUAGAGAUGAUACAGUGCUUGAGGAUAACGCACCCUUACCAAAGCGAUGAUGUAUUGAAUCAUUUUUAACCCAUUAUAGGUGUAAAAAUAUUCUGUUUCUGGUCAGCGCGCGUGCGUCAUUUUUAACCCAUUAAAGCACAGAGGAGAGACAUACAGAGUUGUAACUAGUGUACCCACUUUUUUCGUGGGCAUGCUCGGCAAGUUACUGCAUCUGAUUGGAUGACGACCUGAUGACGACUCACUUUAAACUUGCUGAGCACGCGCAGUUGAUCAUUUUUUGCCCGGUCGCCUGAAAAACGUGGGUACAUGAAAACGUAAGCUUCCGCAGUGUUUACGACGGUCAGUUACCGCUCUGUAUGUCUCUACUCUGUGAUUAAAGCUACGUUUACACGCUACGAUUUGUCGUGUACGAUUCGUAUUCUGGCGUAUUAAAAUGAGCACGUGCUGGCGCCAUAAUUCAUUGCCGUUUCGUUAAAAAGAAAUUUCAAAUGUAGCCAGCUUACGCGUGUUUACUCAAUGACAUACGCCAGAAAACGAAUCGUACACGAUUAAUCGCAGCGUGUAAACACAGAAUAGGAAGUUAUACCAGAAGCGUAACUCGAGCAAAUAUUUGUCCGCGUUUUUACAAGCGAUUCGUCAUCAAUCACGCCAUCCUGGCUAGUACAACUGGCACUUUGUACCUACCAAAUCCUGAUAAAAACUUCCGGCUGUACUAGCCAGGAUGGCGUGGCCUGACGUGAGCGAGUUAAAAUUUUCGUGGACGUCAAACAAUAAGGGAAACGACUAGAGUUACGCUUCUGGUAUAACUUCCUAUUCUGUGGUGUAAACGUAGCUUAAGUUGCAUUGCGCCCUAAUCCACCCCAUACAGUAACUAUAGUUUAUUAUUUUAAGCGCCUUUAAGCCAGUACAGACAAGCACGUUUUCCUUGAAAAAUUGACUUUCUCGUAUGUACGUGCAGUCGCCAAUUAUAGUCGCCUCAGGCUCAGUGAUUACAAGCCUAAUAAUAUACAUAAAGAUAUUACUCGACUGUGAUUGGUUGAUUUCAGUGCAGUUGAUCCCAAACAGCAGUGCAAUUUUCUGUAAUCACAGUGCAAUUUUCUGUAAUCACAGCAGGGUUUUUUUUUAAGAUUUUCUUUUGGGUCCGUUUUUGCAGAGAAGAUUGAGUUUAGCUGAACAGUUGGGAUGGCUGCACCCCCCUCCCCCCCCCCCUCUCAAUAAAUGUAGUUGAGACGCAAUGCGUUAAAGCAGGGGGGGCACUAAGGGACACUAUAAUUCACAGAAGAGGUAAGUACAGAUAUGAAUCUCACGGCAAAUUAUG
rnacentral:lncRNA from 1 species